CCCACUGAAGCCUAGUUCCAAUAACAUAACCAGCAUAAAGAAAGGAGAGGCUCAGCCUGUGAAUAAAAUAAAAAACCAGAGUGGCAAAUGACAGCAAGUAAUGUCAAUAGAUGCCCCUUGCAACUAAUCAAAUGCAUUCAAUGUGAAGAAUCAUUAGAGUACAUUUUGACAUCUUGGGCUGUUCUCAUGCUCACAGAUAACUGUAUUGUUAACAACAUUGUCAUUGAAAAGGGAGAAAAAUGACAUAUAACAGAGAAUUGGAACCUUGAAACCAGCUGGGAAUGGCUGGUCACCUUUUAUUAUUAUUUAUGAAUUUCUCAGAAAGGAAUAUGGAACCCUAAUUAAAGCCAGAAAAUUACUCCUGGAAUAAAUUGAUAAAGCCACAAUAAAGUGCAGAAAGAAGAUGUGACUGUACCAGCCAGGUUCCUGGAAAGAACAAAGAGCUAUUUGGAUGGUUCUGGAA